UGCAAGUCGAGCGCUACCUUCGGGUGGAGCGGCGGACGGGUUAGUAACGCGUGGGAACGUACCCUUUUCUAAGGAAUAGCCUCGGGAAACUGANAGUAAUACCUUAUACGCCCUUCGGGGGAAAGAUUUAUCGGAGAAGGAUCGGCCCGCGUUANAUUANAUAGUUGGUGGGGUAAUGGCCUACCAAGUCUACGAUCUAUAGCUGGUUUUAGAGGAUGAUCANCAACACUGGGACUGANACACGGCCCAGACUCCUACGGGAGGCAGCAGUGGGGAAUCUUGGACAAUGGGCGCAAGCCUGAUCCANCCAUGCCGCGNGAGUGAUGAAGGCCCUANGGUCGUAAAGCUCUUUCGCCAGGGAUGAUAAUGACAGUACCUGGUAAAGAAACCCCGGCUAACUCCGUGCCAGCAGCCGCGGUAAUACGGAGGGGGUUAGCGUUGUUCGGAAUUACUGGGCGUAAAGCGCACGUAGGCGGAUCANAAAGUUAGGGGUGAAAUCCCAGGGCUCAACCCUGGAACUGCCUCUAAAACUCCUGGUCUAGAGUUCGAGAGAGGUGAGUGGAAUUCCNAGUGUAGAGGUGAAAUUCGUANAUAUUCNGAGGAACACC
rnacentral:rRNA from 1 species